GAAUGGCCGAGUGGCUAGCGCUCUCUACCAAAGGUUUCGGGUUCGAGUCCCGAUGGCGCCA
rnacentral:tRNA from 1 species